AUCCCAGUUCGGAUUGCAGGCUGCAACCGCCUGUAUGAAGUUGGAAUCGCUAGUAAUCGCGGAUCAGCAUGCCGCGGUGAAUACGUUCCCGGGCCUUGUACACACCGCCCGUCACACCAUGAGAGUCGGGAACACCCGAAGUCCGUAGCCUAACCGCAAGGGGGGCGCGGCCGAAGGUGGGUUCGAUAAUUGGGGUGAAGUCGUAACAAGGUAAC
rnacentral:rRNA from 1 species